CAAACAAUGAUUCUGUCCCACUCGUUCAGAAUUAAUCAGACCCGUCUUCCCCCUGGGUCACUUUUGUCCCAAACUUGCCGAAGCUCUCCACUUUCUCGCUGGUGUCUCUCGCCGAAGCAGCUCCAGUCCGAUCGUGUCAAAAAUUGAAGCUUGGCCCGCACGGUUAGCUCGUCCUGUAGCGAUUCCUUCCCAUUAGUUUAUAGGAUUUUGGUGCUGGUUUUUGUGUUUUUGGUGAUUGGGGGUUCUUUUGUGGAUAAUUGUGACUAACUGGCAUAGAAUUGAGCUGACUGUGAGCAUAAUCGAGGUUGCGUCUGAUGCUCUUUCUAAGAACCUGGGUUUGUUCGUGGUUCUGCCCAGUUUGAUAUUGGGGUUGGUUGUCUAUCAUGCGCCCAUUGUUGUGUUCUGGGUGUUUGCCAGGUUGAAUGGGCCGAUUGUGCCAUGGGAAUCCAAGGGAGAAUAAACUUGUGUAGAAACAAGAUAGUUGGGUGCCUGCUUAUUUCACAUUGGCAAUUCUUACCAUGUUGUGGUCUGCUGCUGCGAUGGUGAAGGCGUAGGUGUUUGUGAUCAGUGGAACAAUUUUACAGUGGUACUUCUAGAAGGCGGAGGAUUCAACUCCUAAGCGGAGUAUUAGAAGUCCGUUGAGAAGUUUCAACAUCUACGGUUGGCAUGAAAGAUGAGAACAAAGGUUGUUUGGUACAGAAGGCCAAGAUUGAGAUUGUGCUGGGAAAGCCUGAGAAAUUUGACUCUUUUAUGACUGCUGCUGUGGCAUCUGAGAUAGCUACUGCAGACAAGGAAAAUGUUAAGAAACUGGCAAGGAAAACAAGUGGAAAGGAAAAUGAUAAAUAAUAGAAACCUUCUUCUUCAAUGCCCUUUUUUUUUCUUUUCUUUUUUUAAGUUUAAUAUAACACUCUUUCUUACUCUCUGAUCUCACAGAGUUAAGUAGGAGAGUAGUCAGGUGUUCUGUUAUUGAAGAUGGUAGUAUGGAAUGGUUAAAAGAGUACAGAGAAACAACAACUUGAAAUAAGAUAGCAUUGUAUAAAGGUUGCAGUUGCAUGCUACUUUCUAGUCUCAUCCUUUUCUCAAGGAGUUGUAAAGAUUUUCUCUGUUACCAUACCAUGUUUUGCUGGCUUUGUAUUCAUCUAAACUUACUGCACAUAAUAUGAUGAGUGAAUAGUUGAUUAGGAAAGGAAUUGCAUUUACCUUUCUUCAGAUUAGUCUGCAGCUUGAUUUUUGGUCAAAUUUGUUUUAUUUUCUUAAUUGUGUUUAU